rnacentral:tRNA from 1 species
GAGAUCGACUACGAACUGCUAAUUCGCACACACUGAGUUUAAACCUUCAGCCCUCUC